ACGGCUCAGUAACACGUGGCUAACCUGCCCUCGGGAUGGGAACAACCCCGGGAAACUGGGGCUAAUUCCCGAUAGGUGAAGAACUCUGGAAUGAGUCUUUGCCCAAAAGGUGCCGGACCAUGCUUUCGGCAUCGCCCAAGGAUGGGGCCGCGACCGAUCAGGUUGUUGGUGAGGUAAUGGCCCACCAAGCCUAUAACCGGUGCGGGCCGUGAGAGCGGGAGCCCGGAGAUGGGCACUGAGACAAGGGCCCAGGUCCUACGGGGCGCAGCAGUCGCGAAAACUUUGCAAUACACGAAAGUGUGACAGGGUCAUCCCGAGUGCCGACCGCUGAGGUUGGCUUUUACCCAGUCUAGAAAGCUGGGGGAAUAAGGAGAGGGCAAGUCUGGUGUCAGCCGCCGCGGUAAUACCAGCUCUCCGAGUGGUGUGGACGUUUAUUGGGCCUAAAGCAUCCGUAGCUGGCUGAACAAGUCCCCUGUUAAACCCACCGAUUUAAUCGUUGGUCUGCGGGGGAUACUGCUCGGCUAGGGGACGAGAGAGGCAGACGGUAUUCCCGGGGUAGGGGUGAAAUCCUAUAAUCCCGAGAAGACCACCAGUGGCGAAGGCUGUCUGCUAGAACGCGCCCGACGGUGAGGGAUGAAAGCUGGGGGAGCGAACCGGAUUAGAUACCCGGGUAGUCCCAGCUGUAAACGAUGCAGACUAGGUGUUUGGACGGCCACGUGCCGUUCUAGUGCCGCAGGGAAGCUGUUAAGUCUGCCGCCUGGGGAGUACGAUCGCAAGAUUGAAACUUAAAGGAAUUGGCGGGGGAGCAC
rnacentral:rRNA from 1 species